rnacentral:lncRNA from 1 species
GGGUUUUUUUGGGGUUUCUUUGGGAUUUCUUUGGAAUUUUUUUGGGAUUUUUUUGGGAUUUUUUUUGAAUUAUUUUUAAAUUUUUUGGGGAUUUUUUGGGGGAUUUUUUGGGAUUUUUUGGGGAUUUUUUUGGGAUUUUUUUUAGAUUUCUUUGGGAUUUUUUGGGAUUUUUUUCAGGAUUUUUUGGAAUUUUUUUGGGGAUUUUUUGGGAUUUUUUGGGGUUUUUUGGGGAUUUUAUUUUGGAUUUUUUUGGGAUUUUUUGGGGGAUUUUUUGAGGAUUUUUUGGGAUUUCUUUGGGAUCUUUUUGGGAUUUUUUUUUUAUUUUUUUUGAAUUUUUGGGGGAUUUUUCGGGGAUUUUUUUGGGGAUUUUUUGAGGAUUUUUUGGGGAUUUUUUUGGGGAUUUUUUGGUGGAUUUUGGGGUGAGGAAAUGAGGAUUUUGGAGUGUGGGGGAGGGGCCAGGUGUGUCCAGGUGUGUCCCCAGGUGUGUCCAGGUGUCCCCAGGUGCGUUCCAGACCAGGUUCCAGAACGUUCUAGAGGUUCUAGACUCGGUUCUAGAUCGGGUUCUAGAUCGGGUUCUAGAACGUUCUAGGUACGUUCCAGAUCAGGUUCUAGAACGUUCUAGAUCGGGUUCUAGGUGUGCUCUAGGUACGUUCUAGAGGUUCUAGAUCACGUUCUAGAACGUUCUAGACUCGGUUCUAGACUCGGUUCUCGAUCGGGUUCCGGACUGUUCCAGAACCGGUUCCAGACUGGGUUCCAGAGCAGGUUCCAGACUGGGUCCCCAGGUGUGUCCAGGUGUGUCCCAGGUGUCCCCAGGUGUGUCCAGGUGUCCCCAGGUGUGUUCAGGUGUUCUCCAGGUGUGUUCAGGUGUGUCCAGGUGUUCUCCAGGUGUAUCUCAGGUGUAUUUUAGGUGUCCCCAGCUGUUCUAGGUGUAUCUCAGGUGUCCCCAGGUGUAUCUCAGGUGUCCCCAGGUGUGUCCAGGUGUCCCCAGGUGUCCCCAGGUGUCCCCAGGUGUAUCUCAGGUGUGUCCAGGUGUGUCCAGGUGUAUCUCAGGUGUCCCCAGGUGUAUCUCAGGUGUAUCCAGGUGUCCCCAGGUGUAUCUCAGGUGUGUCCCCAGCUGUCCCCAGGUGUCCCCAGGUGUCCCCAGGUGUCCCAGGUGUCCCCUGUCCCCGCAGGAAGAUCCAGGAGGAAUCUCUCCGCACGUACCUGUUCACCUACAGCAGCGUCUACGACUCCAUCAGGUGGAUUUGGGCUGAAAAACGGGGA